rnacentral:lncRNA from 1 species
CAGGAGGGCUUUUUCUGUGGCUCUAGCAAUAAAUAGUCGCUGGCGUUUACAGAGUGCCCGGCAAGGUCCAGUGUUCAAAGGUCAGUGGACUAUGCCCCAGGCACCCGCUAGAGGGCACCAGAGUCAGGCCCUCUCUCCACCAACCCACGGCGGUUUCCAGAGCUCGCUGCGCCCGGGUUCUGACGCUGUGUAAGGCGGCGGCUCUCAGCCAAGCCGCCGCUCAGUUCCAACUACGAGACGCUUGGCACUUGUGUUUGGCUAAACAAGCAAUCAGAAUGACUUCAAUCCAAAGCCUAACUGGAAAAAUUACUCACGACAGUAUUGACAAAGAAGUCUUAGAAAAGGAGGACCUCCGCAGAAGAGAGAACCCAGGGCCAGCCGCAGAAGAGGAGAGAUUUACCAUACUGGAUGCAUACCCGAAAGGUUGAUUUUAAUCCUUCAUCCCCAAGUUAUACUAACACGGAGCUAUUAAUUUUUUGUCCCUGCUUCCACAGCCAGUGUGGGAAGGGGUACGCUGUGGGAGGCCUUGGGUUGGGGCACCCUUCGAGUGCUUUCUAGUGCGCUGCGGCAAUGGCGCAAAGUGCGGGUGCGCGUGUAUGCCAGAGAGACAGCGGCCCAGGACCAGUGAGAAGGGAGAGGGCGCAUCUGCAAGUCCCGCGAAGCUCGCGUGAGGUCUGCCACCUGCAAGUCACUUUGGGAGAGGCUCGUCCGUCCCUUGUUUCUCAGGAACAGCAAAGGAAAGUUAGGACAGGCACCGAGGGGUGGUCCGGAAGGGGUCCAAAUACCUACCGCUCCUCCCCCACCUCGAUGAAGAUGUCACCUGCAGCCACACACAGCUUGCUGCCCUGGACAAGGGAGCCGUGUGCUGUGUGGACAGGGACUGUUGGGUCACCCCGGAUCUGCCUUCUGGGCCGCUUCCCAUGGGCUGUUCCGCUUUCGAUGGGAAGUUCCAGUGCUGAUUUGUGAAAGCAGUGUGGACGGACUAUGGCAAGUUUGGAACUUUGACUCUGUCACCACAUGAACCCUUACAGUUCUACCUAGUUUCAGGGCCACUGGAAAGUAUUUCAGACACAAGGAGUGAACAGGAAAAAAUAAAUACAUGGCCCAAACCAGAAAGCAUGAUUCAAACACUGUGCUCAGGACCAAGGAAAUGGGAUCCCUGAGGUCAGCAGCAGGCUGGGCCUGUCCCCCGCCACAGGCAGGUCCCCACCAGCCCUCAGCUUUCCUGUGUGCCACGGGCGCCAAGCCUGCCCUAGCGCCGGCGCCCGGCCCCCCCCCCUUCCCUGCAGAAGCUUCCUGGAGGUGGCGCUGUGCCCCCACCACCUACAGGGACCCCCUUCCGGGGAGGGUGGCAGCGGCCUGGGCCCUGAGCUGUGGGGUUGAGGAGGUAGAAGAGUCCCUUCUAUUCCCUGUGGGGGGCCAGGAUGGGCCUCAGUGUUUCAGAGUGGGGGUCAGAGAAGAAAGCAUGGCCUCCUUAUCCGAGCAGUCCAACCAGAGGAGUGACGCCGGUUACAUACGAUGUAGAAUACUGCGCUGUCCCUGAGCACAGUGGCGCACCCGAGUCCCAGCAACUGGGAGGCUGAGAUGCGAGGAUUGCAAGUUUGAGCCCAGCCCGGGCAACUCAGGGAGACCAUGUCUCAAAAGAAAAAGAAAAAAAAAGGUGGGAGAGACUGGGGAUGUAGCUGAAUUUGGAAGUCCUGGGUUCAAUCCCCAGUACCACCAAAAACAAAAAUCAAAACCUAUAUUUACAAAUGCUGCAGUUUGGAUGCUGAAUGUUCCCCGAAAGCCCAUGUGUUAAAGUUUGGUCUUCAGCCUGCUCUGGAGAGUUGGUGGGAACUUUUUUGUGUGUGUGGGAACUUUUAUGAGGCAAGGCUGGGAGGGAGGUCCUGAGGUCAUGCCUGGCCCCUUUCUCGUCCUCUUUUUGCUUCCAGGUCAUCUGGGAAGCGGUCUCGAGAUGUUACGUGAUCCUGUCCCAAUGUGCUCCUCCUACCGGCCCAAAGCAAUGGUCCUACCAACCCCGGGCGGAAAUCUCCAGCUAACCUUUCAGUUUAUACAUUUAUUAUCUCGUUUUUCCUUAGAGGGACAUGAAGCUGACGAACAACAAAAAUGUUUUUCUCAAAAUUAAAAAGUCAUUAAAUUAUAUCCUGGAGUGACAUAAAGUCAGAUUGCUGGUGGUUUCUAAUGGUAGGAUUAUGGGCUAUUUAAGUUUCCUCUUUGCAUUUUCCUGUUUCCCAAAUUUCUGCAAGUAUUUGUAUCUGAUAACAGAAAUUAUGCAUACAGCAUUUUCACUCUUCUGUUAAGGUAGUAGCUCUACCCUGGAGACCUUUUCCAUGGGCUGAGAUCGGGCUGAGCAGGUCCACUCUGCUGAGGGGGACAAAUGUCAGUCUAGGCCAGGAAAAGGAGGGGCUUGGACCAGAAUAGAAGAAAUGGAAACCAGCUCACCUGACCAGCAGUUCUCAGGCCCCAGUGAGGGCCCCGGGAAAUCCCAGGCCAUGGUCCUGGUCCAGAGAGGUCUUCCCGGAGCAUGGCUGAACCUCAGGCCCUUGACUUAUUUUUCACAUUAUUUUAAAUCUAUUCUCCAGAAAAAUGCAUAUUUUUGGUAGAAAAGUUGCAUAUAGAGAAAACACAAGGAAAAACCACCACACAUACUUCCAUCACCCAAACUAACCAACAUUCCCAUUGUUGUACACAUUUCCCAUCUUCUCUUUUAACUCAAAAUCAGGAUUAUAUUGUAAAUAAUAUUUGAUAAACUUUCAUCUUUUUAUUUUUAUUUUAAAUAAAAUAGGUUUGUUGAGACAGAGUCUCGCUAUGUAAUUCAGGCUGGCCUUGGAUUCACAGCAAUUCUCCUGCCUCAGCCUCUUGAGUGCUGGGAUUACAGGUGUGGGCCACCACACCUGGCAUUAUUUUGAAAAUUUUCAAACCUACAGAAAUGAACCUUCACCUAGAUUCACCAGUUGUUAAUGUUUUAUCUCUCUCCCCAUAAAUAUUUUCCUAGAUUUCACCAUCUGUUAAAUUUUAACUGUGUCUAUAAAUAUUUUCCCAGGCCACUUGAAAAGAAGUUGUAAAUUUGGGAACAAAAGGUUGUCCUAAUUAAAAAAGAAAGAAAGAAGUUGUAGACAUUAUGAUACUUUCUCCUAAAUUCUUCAGCUGUGUCUAAGAGGAAGUCAUCAAGGGCUAGAAUAGAAAGCCCCCACGUGAAGAAUAGCCCAGGCUUGUCCGAAAAUCUUUACUAGGGGGCGGUCUCCUUCUCCGACUUCUCUCUGCCGCCCCCCAGGACUCAGGAGACAGACUUCUCUCCCGAGGAACGAGCCAGCUUCCUCCCGGCAGCCUGGCACCACGUAGGAAGGGCAUAACUGUAGCAGCUCGGAGGGCGGGGGGUGCAGCUCGGUGGCAGAGCGCUUGCUUAGCUUGCUCAAGGCCUGGGUUCCAUCCCCCAGUACCCUUCCCCUCCAAAGGAAAGGAAAGGAGAGGAGGGGAGGGGAGGAGAGAAGCGGAAGGGAGAGGAGACAGGUUAAAUGCUGAGCUGCAAAGCAAAGAUGAUCUGUGCUGCCACCUAGUGGUGAUAUCUAGAAUUCCCCCAGGUAUUUUGUUUUUGAGGCAGGGUCUCCCUGUGUAGUCUAGGCUGGCCUUGCCCUCACUAUGCAGUCCAGGCUGGCCUCGAACUCGUGAUGACCCUCCGUGCGCCUCCACAUCGGGCUCCCCCAGGCAUUUUGGAUUAACAAGGAGGGAUCUUUGCCCUAUCC